rnacentral:rRNA from 1 species
CCUACGGGUGGCUGCAGUGGGGAAUAUUGGACAAUGGGCGAAAGCCUGAUCCAGCCAUGCCGCGUGUGUGAAGAAGGCCUUCGGGUUGUAAAGCACUUUCAGUGGGGAAGAAAGCCUUGGGGCUAAUACCCUCGAGGAAGGACAUCACCCACAGAAGAAGCACCGGCUAACUCCGUGCCAGCAGCCGCGGUAAUACGGAGGGUGCGAGCGUUAAUCGGAAUUACUGGGCGUAAAGCGCGCGUAGGCGGUCUGAUAAGCCGGUUGUGAAAGCCCCGGGCUCAACCUGGGAACGGCAUCCGGAACUGUCAAGCUAGAGUGCGGUAGAGGAAGGUAGAAGUCCCGGUGUAGCGGUGAAAUGCGUAGAGAGCGGGAGGAAUACCAGUGGCGAAGGCGGCCUUCUGGACUGACACUGACACUGAGGUGCGAAAGCGUGGGUAGCAAACAGGAUUAGAUACCCCAGUAGUC